ensembl:lncRNA
CUCCGUCACACUUCACUGGAAAAAUAGACUCCAUCACACCAGAACUCCUUGUCAUCCCACUAUCAAAAUUUCUCCCUCCCUGCAUCUGGACUCAUGCCGUCAGCUGGCCUCCUCUCAUUCUAGAUGCCUGUCCCUGCUCCCAUCCACAGUCAAGAUGUUCAACUUUCUUCUGGCUCCCGUUGGAUAUUUGUACAACAAACAGCCUUGGAAGAUGGAGGUGAUAUGUACCCCCUGAAGCAAAGGUGCGUGUUUGUGGGGAGGGCAUGUGCCUCCUCAUCCGCCAGACCCUGAGCCUCCCCGAUGCUCCUGAUGCUGUGAGUGCGAGACCUGUACACUGAAACCACCACACUGCCGAGGGAACCCAGUGAAGACUGAACAAAUGGAAAGCGAGGCCGUGUUCAUGGACUGGACAACGCAGUAUUAUCAAGAUGACCGGAUGCUGCGGUAAAUGAGCCCUGCCCUCAUAAUGCGCACAGUCCAGCUGGCUGUGCCCGCCUCAUGAAUUGUUGGAAGAAUUCACCAAAACAAUGUGCUGAAUGCAGGCCCUCAGCCCAGCCUGGCGUAAGGACUGUUGGGGAAUGCAGCAGUCAUCUCUUCUCAUCAUCAUCAUCACUCUCCUCUCUUCAACGCUCUCCCUCCUAUGGCACACAAAAUGGACGUUUCCACAAAUGAUGAUGCCCAGGAAGCCCAAAGACAGGGAACUUGUGCUUUCAAUCAAGAGUGAAUCUUUUGGGACAAAGAAAGUGAAGAACUGUCUGGAAAAAAAAAAGAGCAUUUCAAGCACACCUCACCAGUGCUAUAAUCACUUAAAACAGUUAGGUCAACCAUGAAAUUAACAAGGAGCAGAAAUCUGUGUUCCUUCCACUCAGAUCUCUGUGGCUGGGCUUCACGCUUACCAAGAUAAACGUCUUCCAUGAUCACACUGUGCCACCAAGGAGAGUGUCUCUUCUUGGAGAUAAUAUUCUCAUUAACGCUAGACAAACAGAAUGCAGCCUUCGGCAGCAGUCCCGGCCCCAACAAGCUGAUUGUGUGACAGUCUGCUGCCUAUGGAGAAGCCUGGGCAGGGGGCAAGGACAGAGGUCUUCUCCAUGCGGCUUUGCCCUUCAGGCAGCCCACCCCACCCAGCCCGACCAUGCACCUGGGCUCUGCCUCCAACCUCUGAUUUCCCGGGCCCAUGCCAUCCCCCUCCACUACGUGUCCUGGGGACCUGUCUUAAGCCUUCCGCCUGUGCAAAUACCCUGGGAUAAUUGGCAUGGCCUCCACCUGCACACCUAAAAUGGGAUAGGUGACACCUCCUCCUAAAUAAGGCACUCACAAAAUUUCGUUAUUACUGAAAGACUUGGAAGAUAAGUAAUGAAACUAUUUUUACAUUGAAACACAGCCAAGAAUGCAACAUCACGGUCCCUCCAGGUCUUCAACCCAUGACCCCAGUACCUCUACAUGUAUUGACGAACUCACUCCUCCUGCCAGGGCCUGAGCCUGCUGCAUAAAUCACAGCUUCCAGCUUGACAUCGAGGGCCCUCCACCUGCCCCCUUCGCCUCCUCCAUCACUCCCGGAAGUGCUACUCCCAGACACUGCUCUCGGCCCCCUGUUGCUCCCAAACAGGCCUUACCCUUCUCUGCCUCUGAAACCUGGAGCAUCGUCCAUCCUGAUUCAUUAUACUAAGUAUAAGAGACUCCUCAUCCUUAAAGGGGAGCAGCAUAUGCUGCUGGCCCUCUAUGUGCUUACAUCAGUCAGCAUGGGCUAAGAGGUGUUGUUGUAACAAAUGAUCCCAAAUCCUAGUGGUGUAUGACAGCAAAGGAUUGUUUCUCACCCACACCUAAAGCCCACUGCAAGUUGGUCUCAGCUCUGCUCAGCUAGGGCCUCAGAAUUUAGAAGCAGUCCAUACAUGGGACCCGCCAGUCUCCUGGACAAGGGAGAAGAUCAAUGAGAGAACAAUACGAUGGUUCCUUACUUUCCUCUUGGAAGAAGCACAGAUCACUUCCACUCAGAGUUCUUUAGUAAAAACAAGUCACAUUGCCAAGCCUGCUACCAACGGGUGGGAAGCACGAUCCUACUCGGGAGGGGCUGUUGGAGGGAUAUCAGACAUGGAAGGAAUCGUACAGUCCACAACAGGACCACUCGCUGGGCUGGUGCUUCUCUUAUGCUAACGCCUUUAGGCUCCUCCACAGAAUGCUGUGAAGAAGAUAGAAGUAAUUCCAUUUUACAGAUAUAAACAAAGGCUCUGGGACCAAGUGAGUAGUGACUCAGCGGAUGUCUGGAAUUCUCUGUGGUGAGCCCUGGGGUGCUGCAUUCCAGUACCAGUUUGGAGCCAGAGUGACCUAGGGAGUUCCAUAGGGAAUCCCAGCUCUGACCAAGUUGGACAGAGGGACACUCGAUCCUCAGGGAGACAGCACACAGAGGCAGGUGGAGUUCUCCUGGAGGCAGUCAGAUUGGUUGGAAAAGGGCAGGGUUACUCUUAGCAGGUGAGCAGGACAGCCCAUAAGGGAAUGGGGCGGCCCACAGGAGGGAAUGGGGCGGCCCACAGGAGGGAAUCGAGGGGCCCACAGGAGGGAAUGGGGCGGCCCACAGGAGGGAAUCAGGUGGCCCACAGGAGGGAAUCAGGUGGCCCACAUGUGGAUCAGCUUCGUCCUUCUGGGAGCAGCUGCUUUAGCUCUGAAGAAGCCCGUCUACGUUUCCCCUCUGAGCCUUUCUCCAGGAUGAAGGGAGGACUUACCUUCCUGGCUGACAAGGACCUUGCUCUCUCUAUUCCUAGGUUCUUCCUCCAUGAUCCUGGGCUCUCAGAAGGUGGGCUCAGCAAUCCAAGGCCAAAGGCUUUUGCUCACAGGUAUUCCCUGGUCUCUGAGGACUGAGCGUCCACUUCCCCUGAGGCCAGGUGCAGUUCAGUGAACUUCAGCAACACAGUCUUUUGCACCCACUGAGUCCAGAGUCCUCAGGCAGGGUGAGGCCCAGAGUCCUUAGUCCAGCACUACCACGAGGCUCCUUGAGCCGACCAGCGGAGAAACAAGGCUUCACAGUCUCACACAGUUGUCUUUCUGGAAGUCACUCGGUCACAGAGCUCCAGAACUGGGAGGCCUGUCAGCGACCCUAGAGUCUGACACACUCUUUCCUGCACUCCGGCUCGGAGAGAGGAAGGUCCAGAGCAAGACAUCAGCAGUUCAGAGCUGAAACAGAACUGAAGCAUACCAUGGCCCGUCCCCUCCUGGCCCAACAGUGUCUGGUCCUGUGAACAGUGAGAACCAUGCUGGGCCCCCUCAGGUGUUCACAAGGGCCAAACAUGCCGUAUGGUCAACGCCCAGCCCCAAGCACCCUCCUCCAGAAAGCUCCCUUGAACAUGUAGCAGAAUAGAGUAAGCACUGGAUUCAGAGCCACAGGUCAUGAGUUCAAGUCCUGACUCUGCCAUUCAUUGACUGUGUGAUCCUGGGGAAUUGACUUACCUCUCUGGGCAUCUAUAAAUUUGGAUUGAGGUUGCCUCCACUGCAUCGACCUCAUUUGAGGGGUGAUGGGUGACGAGAAGACUGCACUGCCCUUUCCCGUCUCCCUGGAUUCCCUACAGACUAAUUACUUCACUGGCUGUUGGGAAUUGAUGGGAGAGAAGUACUACAUUUGAUCAGUUUUGAAAUGUACACUUUACCUCAAUAUUUCAGAAAUCAGGACUUAUCUCUCCACUGGCAGUCUUAACUUUCCGUUGGCUAGGUGGCAACCCUGAAUUUAAUAUCGCUUCCUACAUGUGUCACUCCUAACAGCUUGACUGGAUGGCCUCAGCCUCUCAAUGUUUCUGUCCACAAACCCUUAAGAACCUUUGGAGGAAGAAACCAGAGUCCUGAACGGUGUCUGAAACGUUCUGCUGACACCUUCUGGUGAGAUCUAGAAAGUGCCAGCGGCAAACUUGGCAGAAUGGGAAUCAGUGGCAUGGAAUACACUCCAGAAAAAGAUGGAUGUUGCUCUCAGAAAUGCCACAUCAUCCUUGCUCCUGCUGGCACAGAGGACAGCAUAGUGUGGAAAAAUCUGGAUACUGAUGUUUCAGGGUCAGAAAGCAAACAUCAACACCUCUCUUUCUGUCUCUCUCACACACACAUACGCUCAUCCUCUGCCCUGGGAACAAGGUACCUCUCAUGACUGGGCAGAGACUUGAGCUCUCUUCUUUCUGCCUCCGGGGGCCUUUGUGACCGGGGAAGCAGCCCAGGAAUUCAUGCUAGGCAUCUUGAAGACCCAGCAGGUGCUUUCACACGUACGCCUGUUCUUUGCUUCAAACCAAAUAAAAUCCUUCAUAUUUGUAUUUGAUUAUAUUCUAAUUGCACAAAUAAUACAUGAACAUGUUCUGUUAUUUAGAACAAUGAAACUUACAGCUGCAGCAGAAGUCCUCCCACAUGGCCACCUGCUCCCCGCCACCGGGCCCAGAGCCCGCCCCAAAGAUGACGUUGGAACUGUUUGCUGCGUGCAUCUCUCCCGACAGUUUUUUGCCUAAUUUGCUUUGUUGUAAUUUGAGUUUCAUCUGAGUUAACACAAUUGGUUAACAUAAACGGUAUCCUGUAUAUUCAUGCUUUUGCAAUUUGCUUUCUCCACGUAACAAUAUAAUCUUGGGAGAACUUUCCAUAUUAAUGUAUCUAGGACGACCUCAUUUCUAAACUGCUGAAUAGUGAUAGUUUACCCUUUUCCAUGUUGAUAGACAUUUGGGUUGUUUAUUUUAUUUUACAUAUUUGUGUUGCUAUUAUAAACAAUGCAAAAUAAACAUCCUUGAACAGCCUGUUUGUAGGAAGUAGAAUUUUUUGGUUUAAGGUAUUGCACAUUUUCAUUUGAGAAGAUGUGACCAAAUUGUCCUCCCAAAAUGCUGGCCUUUUACACUCCCA